CUAUAAUACUAACUAACUAGCUCUACACUGCAAUACAAGAACAAUGCUUCUUUAUUUCCAUGUGUUCGACAUGAUCAUCAACUGGUGAAGAUGCUAACUUUGCGCGGGACAUGUUAACUUUAGCCUCAGUCUUUUAGCACAAUAUCAUGUGGGUAGUCAUCAAGUACAUAUUCAAGACCCCUUCUUCAGUAUUCUUGUUUUAAAAUGAGUCAGCUGGAAACAUUAAACAGUCUGCUGCAGACAAUUCAUGGAGCCAAUGUUAGCUUACUUAGCUAACUGCUUGCUAUCUACAGCUGACAAAAUCUGACAAAAUCUUGCUGGCUAUAAAUGAGAAGUUUCUUUUGUGUACAUACGGCGGUACUCAAGGACCUAUUGUUUCCAAACUUACUAAAAUAUCUGAUGGUAAAUCUGCCACUAUUAUCACAACUAUUUCAUGCUAAAACGGAAAGUCGUUUUAUCACUUUCUUGUUAUAAUAAAGUCACUUGGCUCUGUUUUUUCCAACUGAUACAUUUUAUUCUAACAUCAUGAUCCGGUCAUUACCCCGCCCUCAUCCUCUCCUUCUGAGUAAAGAGAGUGAUUUGUUUCCUCUCCACUUGAGUAUGUCAAAACUAGAAACAUUAUCGUUAUCAGGAAGGAGCUAUGGAUAAUCAUCAUGCAUUCUUUGCUGAUUAAGACUCGAUGAGGGCGGGUUAUGUCUGUAUCUGGAAAUACAGGUCACGCUGUUUUUUCCCUGUUAAAGUGGGGGUGACCUACAACCCAGUGCUGUGCCUGAACACAUCCUGUGUUGACUCAGACGGACCACUGAAUCUGCCGUUGCUGCUCUGCUCACAGGCUUCUCACAUUACGCCGCCUGUUUAGACACGGUUUUAGUGGUGGUUGGCAUUCUGGGAGUCUUGGAUCCUGGAUGAGAUGAGACUUGUUUGGCCCCUGAAACCCUCCUGUCUCCUGGUUUAGUUGGCCCUUGUCUUUUCAGAGGUCUCCAUGUUGGCACCGGGAUGUAAAAGUGUUUGCCCACAGUGGUAGUACACUUAACUCAGCUUUUCAGCAUUUUGCUCUUUCUAUUUUUCCCACACUCCCUCCCUCCCCUCCUGCCUCUGUCAGCGUUUGUCCCUUUUAUAAUGGUCUUAGCCAGUAUGCAGCUGUAGAGCUUGAUUUUGCCUGUCUCCAGCAGCACUCAGCUGACCCACUAAUAGAGGGGUUGUAUGAGGAAAGGCCGGAGGCAGCAGAAGGACUGCAGAGCUGUGGCUUAAAACAACCCACCUCCGACAAACAGCGUGGACCUCCCGCAGAGAGAAGCUUUGAGGAAAAACAGAAAAACCCUCAGUCAGAAGAAAAGGAAACAUGAAAUAAGGCCAGAGUGCAGCAACAUCACCUGCGGACAGCAGUAAAUCUCUACAGCUGAGCUGUAUUCUUAUGCCUCAAGCAUCUCUGAACUAUAUUUUUGAAAUGACCCUGAGUGACUUUGGACAUGACGCGGUACUUUGUCAAGAUGGCAUCAUAACCUGAGGAGCUGGUCCCUUAAGCUUUUAGUGUUCGUCCUUGCUGCCCAUACUACAGACUGAAAAGGAUGCUCUUAUUCAUAAGUGACAACACAACAAGGUUAAGGCUGACAGACAUCUUCAGAGCUUUAUCCUGCUUGUCCUUUACUCUGCGUAUGAUUGACAAGGACAAGUUAUAAGAGCAUACGUUUUUUUUUCUAUUAAAAAAUUGUGUUGAGAACAUUUGUUGCUUACAAAAUUUACAAAAUGAAAAAGAAUAAACAGAAAUGAAACA